UGUCAGGGAAGAAACGGUAUGGGCUAAUAUCCCGUACUAAUGACGGUACCUGAAGAAUAAGCACCGGCUAACUACGUGCCAGCAGCCGCGGUAAUACGUAGGGUGCAAGCGUUAAUCGGAAUUACUGGGCGUAAAGCGUGCGCAGGCGGUUUUGUAAGUUUGUCGUGAAAGCCCCGGGCUCAACCUGGGAAUUGCGAUGAAGACUGCAAGGCUUGAAUCUGGCAGAGGGGGGUAGAAUUCCACGUGUAGCAGUGAAAUGCGUAGAGAUGUGGAGGAACACCGAUGGCGAAGGCAGCCCCCUGGGUCAAGAUUGACGCUCAUGCACGAAAGCGUGGGGAGCAAACAGGAUUAGAUACCCUGGUAGUCCACGCCCUAAACGAUGUCUACUAGUUGUCGGGUUUUAAUUAACUUGGUAACGCAGCUAACGCGUGAAGUAGACCGCCUGGGGAGUACGGUCGCAAGAUUAAAACUCAAAGGAAUUGACGGGGACCCGCACAAGCGGUGGAUGAUGUGGAUUAAUGCGAUGCAACGCGAAAAACCUUACCUACCCUUGACAUGGACGGAAGCCACGAGAGAUCGAGGUGUGCUCGAAAGAGAGCCGUCACACAGGUGCUGCAUGGCUGUCGUCAGCUCGUGUCGUGAGAUGUUGGGUUAAGUCCCGCAACGAGCGCAACCCUUGUCAUUAGUUGCUACGAAAGAGCACUCUAAUGAGACUGCCGGUGACAAACCGGAGGAAGGUGGGGAUGACGUCAAGUCCUCAUGGCCCUUAUGGGUAGGGCUUCACACGUCAUACAAUGGUACAUACAGAGGGCCGCCAACCCGCGAGGGGGAGCUAAUCCCAGAAAGUGUAUCGUAGUCCGGAUUGUAGUCUGCAACUCGACUACAUGAAGUUGGAAUCGCUAGUAAUCGCGGAUCAGCAUGUCGCGGUGAAUACGUUCCCGGGCCUUGUACACACCGC
rnacentral:rRNA from 1 species